rnacentral:rRNA from 1 species
UAAACGACUCUCGGCAACGGAUAUCUCGGCUCACGCAUCGAUGAAGAACGUAGCAAAAUGCGAUACUUGGUGUGAAUUGCAGAAUCCCGUGAACCAUCGAGUUUUUGAACGCAAGUUGCGCCCGAAGCCUUUUGGCCAAGGGCACGUCUGCCUGGGCGUCACAC